rnacentral:telomerase_RNA from 1 species
UGGCCAUUUUCUUCUAACCGUAACCAAGAAGGGCAUAGGCGCUGUGCUUGUUCACCGAGCGCUGUUUUUCUUGCUGACUUACAGCGGGGCAGAAAAGCCUGGCCUGCCGCUGUCCACAGUCCAGUCUGGAGCAAACAAAAAGUGUCAGCCGCUAGCCCUCUCAAGCCCUGCCCAAAGGCUGAGGUUGGCCUGGGGCUUCUCCAGAGGUACCCAAUGCCGCCACGAAGAGUUGGGCUCUGUCAGGCUCUGUCAGCCGCGGGUCCCUCGGGGGCCAAGGGCGGGGCUUAGGCCUGCUGAUGCAGGGAGAGUAACGAGCCGGGUCCCUGCACGUGGUACGGGUCCCUGCACGUGGUACGCUUCCCAGAGCUGUGGGAUUUGCACCCGUGACUCAGCUCAUACAUAC